AGCAGCCGCGGUAAUUCCAGCUCCAAUAGCGUAUAUUAAAGUUGUUGCAGUUAAAAGCUCGUAGUUGAAUUUCGGGGUCAGUAGAUUGGUCAUGCCUCCGGUAUGUACUGGUCUUACUGGCUCCUCCUUCCUGAUGAACCGUAAUGCCAUUAAUUUGGUGUUGCGGGGAGACUGGACUGUUACUUUGAAAAGAUUAGAGUGUUUAAAGCAGGCUAACGCUUGAAUACAUUAGCAUGGAAUAAUGAAAUAGGACGUUCGAUCUUAUUUUGUUGGUUUCUAAGAUUGACGUAAUGAUUAAUAGGGAUAGUUGGGGGCAUUAGUAUUCAAUUGUCAGAGGUGAAAUUCUUGGAUUUAUUGAAGACUAACUACUGCGAAAGCAUUUGCCAAGGAUGUUUUCAUUAAUCAAGAACGAAAGUUAGGGAUCGAAGACGAUCAGAUACCGUCGUAGUCUUAACCAUAAACUAUGCCGACUAGGGAUCGGAUGAUGUUAAUUUUUUAAUGUACUCAUUCGGCGUCCG
rnacentral:misc_RNA from 1 species